rnacentral:rRNA from 1 species
UUUGGAGGGCAAGUCUGGUGCCAGCAGCCGCGGUAAUUCCAGCUCCAAUAGCGUAUAUUAAAGUUGUUGCAGUUAAAAAGCUCGUAGUUGAAUUUCGGGAUCAUCAGGUUGGUCGUGCCUCUGGUAUGUACUGAUCUAGAUGGUUCCUCCUUCUUGUAGAACCGUAAUGCCAUUAAUUUGGUGUUGCGGGAAAACAGGACUGUUACUUUGAAAAAAUUAGAGUGUUUAAAGCAG